rnacentral:tRNA from 1 species
GACGCUGGAGCCAGACGGUCAGGCGGCUGCCUGCAAAGCAGUCUCAAGUGGGUUCGACUCCCACCGGUGUCU